rnacentral:rRNA from 1 species
CUGGCGGCGUGCUUAACACAUGCAAGUGCGCGGUGAUCUCAAGAAGUUUCGGACGGAAAGGGAGAGCAGCAGCGGACGGGUGAGUAGAGCACAAGGACUUGCCCGAAGAGGGGGACAACUGUGGGAAACCACAGCUAAUACCCCAUAAGCCGAGAGGUGAAAGCAGCGAUGCGCUUUAGGGAGAGACUUGUGUCCUAUCAGGUAGUUGGUGAGGUAACGGCUCACCAAGCCGAAGACGGGUAGCCGGACUGAGAGGUUGUACGGCCACAUUGGAACUGAGAGACGGUCCAGACUCCUACGGGAGGCAGCAGUGGGGAAUAUUGGGCAAUGGGGGCAAACCCCUGACCCAGCGACGCCGCGUGAGGGAAGACAGCCUUCGGGUUGUAAACCUCUGUUGCAGGGGAAGAAGAAAGUGACGGUACCCUGCGAGGAAGCUCCGGCAAACUACGUGCCAGCAGCCGC